GCCACAAUGAAAAAUAAAGGCAAUAAAAGGCAAUAACAAGUGUUGGUGAGGGUGUGGAGAAAGCAGAACCAUCACACGCUGCUGCUGAAAAUGGAAAAUGACGCAGCCACUGUGGAAAACAGUCCAGCAGUUCCUCAAAAGGCUAAAUGCAGAGUCACCAUAUGAUCCGGCAACUUCACUCCCGGGCAUAUACCGAAGGCUAAACGCAGAGUCACCAUAUGAUCCGGCAACUUCACUCCCGGGCAUGUACCAAAGGCUAAACACAGAGUCACCAUAUGAUCCGGUAACUUCACUCCCGGGCAAAUACCGAAGGCUAAACACAGAGUCACCAUACGAUCCGGCAACUUCACUCCCGGGCAUGUACCAAAGGCUAAACACAGAGUCACCAUAUGAUCCGGUAACUUCACUCCCGGGCAAAUACCGAGAGCUAAACGCAGAGUCACCAUAUGAUCCGGCAACUUCACUCCUGGGCAUAUACCGAAGGCUAAACGCAGAGUCACCAUAUGAUCCGGCAACUUCACUCCCGGGCAUGUACCAAAGGCUAAACACAGAGUCACCAUAUGAUCCGGUAACUUCACUCCCGGGCAAAUACCAAAAGCUAAACGCAGAGUCACCAUAUGAUCCGGCAACUUCACUCCUGGGCAUAUACCGAAGGCUAAACGCAGAGUCACCAUAUGAUCUGGCAACUUCACUCCCGGGCAUAUACCAAAGGCUAAACACAGAGUCACCAUAUGAUCCGGCAACUUCACUCCCGGGCAUAUACCAAAGGCUAAACACAGAGUCACCAUAUGAUCCGGCAACUUCACUCCCGGGCAUAUACCGAAAGCUAAACGCAGAGUCACCAUAUGAUCUGGCAACUUCACUCCCGGGCAGGUACCGAAGACUAAAUGCAGAGUCACCAUAUGAUCCGGCAACUUCACUCCCGGGCAAAUACCGAAAGCUAAACACAGAGUCAC
rnacentral:lncRNA from 1 species